rnacentral:rRNA from 1 species
UACGUAGGGUGCAAGCGUUGUCCGGAAUUAUUGGGCGUAAAGGGUGCGUAGGCGGUCUGACAAGUCUGAUGUGAAAUCUAUGGGCUCAACCCAUAGUCUGCAUCGGAAACUGUCGGGCUUGAGUAUGGGAGAGGUGAGUGGAAUUUCCGGUGUAGCGGUGAAAUGCGUAGAUAUCGGAAAGAACACCAACGGCGAAAGCACUCUGCUGGGCCGACACUGACACUGAGAGACGAAAGCUAGGGGAGCGAAUGGG